rnacentral:ncRNA from 2 species
UAAUUAGCGUUGAAGAGGAUAAGUAAAAAAAUGAAGCUUUAAAGAGAGAACCAUCACCGGCUGAAAGUGGUUUAGGCCUCUCAUUUUUUGAAAUGCACCUCUGAGCCCCAUUUUGAAAAGACUCUGAUCUGAGUAGAUUUGGGCGGACCCCUUCCGUUAACAGGUUAAAGUGAGACCGAUAUUAAGCUAUAUGCAAAUGAUUUGCUUGUAUGAUGCUUCGGUCUAAUCAGAGUGGAACCACGUAAAUAGCGUCUCUGUC